rnacentral:lncRNA from 13 species
AAUAGAUGCUUUCUAUUUAAUUCUUCUUAGAAAGUUCCAGACCCAGGAGGCUGAGGCAGGAGAAUUGCCUGAACCCAAGAGGCGGAAGCUGUGGUGAGCUGAGAUCUCACCAUUGCACUCCAGUCUGGGUAACAAGAGGGAAACUCCAACUCAAAAAAAAGAAAAAAAAAGAAAGUUCCAGACCCAUGGAAAGAAAAGCAACACCUUAGGAUGCCUUCUCCAGGCCUCAUUUACCCCACUGUACUGAAGGCAUUGUGACACUUCAGAGUCAUUUUGGAAAUAAAUGGUUUUAAGGACCCAGGACUUUUCCUUUUUAUUAAUUAUUCCAUCAUCUACUAGAGUCAUUGGUAUCCUGGUCAUUUCUCCAUCACCAAAAUAACUUUUUUUUUUUUUUGAAGUUUACACACAAGGUGGAGUUAUAUUUGCAACAAGUAGGAUACUUGUGGUUGACUUCUUGACAGAUCGAGUACCUUCAGAUUUAAUUACUGGACAAGUUCAUAAGGCAACCCUUGGGAGAUGGAAGGCAACACUUACAGAAAAGGAGAGAGGCAUGUUGAAACAUAACAUACUUAAAAAUGAAAUUCAUGUAUGGGAAGAAAUACC